GCGGCGUGCUUAACACAUGCAAGUCGAACGGAAAGGCCCUGCUUUUGUGGGGUGCUCGAGUGGCGAACGGGUGAGUAACACGUGGGUAACCCGCCCUUGACUUUGGGAUAACUUCAGGAAACUGGGGCUAAUACCGGAUAGGAGCUCCUGCUGCAUGGUGGGGGUUGGAAAGUUUCGGCGGUUGGGGAUGGACUCGCGGCUUAUCAGCUUGUUGGUGGGGUAGUGGCUUACCAAGGCUUUGACGGGUAGCCGGCCUGAGAGGGUGACCGGCCACAUUGGGACUGAGAUACGGCCCAGACUCCUACGGGAGGCAGCAGUGGGGAAUAUUGCACAAUGGGCGGAAGCCUGAUGCAGCAACGCCGCGUGCGGGAUGACGGCCUUCGGGUUGUAAACCGCUUUCGCCUGUGACGAAGCGUGAGUGACGGUAAUGGGUAAAGAAGCACCGGCUAACUACGUGCCAGCAGCCGCGGUGAUACGUAGGGUGCGAGCGUUGUCCGGAUUUAUUGGGCGUAAAGGGCUCGUAGGUGGUUGAUCGCGUCGGAAGUGUAAUCUUGGGGCUUAACCCUGAGCGUGCUUUCGAUACGGGUUGACUUGAGGAAGGUAGGGGAGAAUGGAAUUCCUGGUGGAGCGGUGGAAUGCGCAGAUAUCAGGAGGAACACCAGUGGCGAAGGCGGUUCUCUGGGCCUUUCCUGACGCUGAGGAGCGAAAGCGUGGGGAGCGAACAGGCUUAGAUACCCUGGUAGUCCACGCUGUAAACGGUGGGUACUAGGUGUGGGGUCCAUUCCACGGGUUCCGUGCCGUAGCUAACGCUUUAAGUACCCCGCCUGGGGAGUACGGCCGCAAGGCUAAAACUCAAAGGAAUUGACGGGGCCCCGCACAAGCGGCGGAGCAUGCGGAUUAAUUCGAUGCAACGCGUAGAACCUUACCUGGGUUUGACAUGGAUCGGGAGUGCUCAGAGAUGGGUGUGCCUCUUUUGGGGUCGGUUCACAGGUGGUGCAUGCCUGUCGUCAGCUCGUGUCGUGAGAUGUUGGGUUAAGUCCCGCAACGAGCGCAACCCUUGUUCACUGUUGCCAGCACGUUAUGGUGGGGACUCAGUGGAGACCGCCGGGGUCAACUCGGAGGAAGGUGGGGAUGACGUCAAGUCCUCAUGCCCCUUAUGUCCAGGGCUUCACGCAUGCUACAAUGGCUGGUACAGAGGGUGGCGAGCCUGUGAGGGUGAGCGAAUCUCGGAAAGCCGGUCUCAGUUCGGAUUGGGGUCUGCAACUCGACCUCAUGAAGUCGGAGUCGCUAGUAAUCGCAGAUCAGCAACGCUGCGGUGAAUACGUUCCCGGGGCUUGUACACACCGCCCGUCAAGUCAUGAAAGUUGGUAACACCCGAAGCCGGUGGCCUAACCGUUGUGGGGGAGCCGUCGAAGGUGGGACUGGUGAUUAGG
rnacentral:rRNA from 1 species